GAAACGAAAAAAAAGUGACAAAAAAAUAAGUAGGAGCAUCAAAAGGAUAAAAGCUGAUAUGGUAGAGAUCAGCGAGGGACAAAAACGCAUAAGAGAGGGACAAAGGGAAGUCAGGGAAAAAUUUCAAGAAAUAAGUGAAGAGGCUGCCAAAUUAAAAGAGGAGACUCAUCUGAUCUCUAAGCAGAGUGCCGCAAAUGAACUCAGGCUUAAUCUUAUGUUCCAAAUCAUCAAAGCAAGAGCAGAGAAUGAUUAUGCCAAGGACGCCCUCCUCACUCAAAACUUACGUGAUCUAAUGGGAAGCAGAGCCAUAGCAUGAGCAAGCCUUCGUAGGAGAAGCAAGAAUUAAUCCUGUUUCUUAGCCCCCCCCCCCCCCCCCCCCCCCCCAAGAACUAUAUAUCAUCUACUGUGUCUACUCUUCUGUUCAAUCUGCAAUAAAGAAGUUGUAUGCAAUUGACUCCGAGUCCAAGGAGUUUUUCUUCUACCUUCAUUUUUGUUUGUUAUUACAAUGUUUUUGUAUUAAGAUAAUUAUGUUUUAUAUUCACGUCAAGAAGGUUAUUAUUA